AUAACAGAAUGUUAUUACGUUGUCUAUAUAUACCCUGUAGAACCGAAUUUGUGUGGUAUUUACAUAGUCACAGAUUCGAUUCUAGGGGAAUAUAUGGUCGAUGCAAAAACUUCACAUUUCUG
rnacentral:precursor_RNA from 12 species